rnacentral:rRNA from 1 species
ACAUGCAAGUCGAGCGGUAACAUUUCUAGCUUGCUAGAAGAUGACGAGCGGCGGACGGGUGAGUAAUGCUUGGGAACAUGCCUUGAGGUGGGGGACAACAGUUGGAAACGACUGCUAAUACCGCAUAAUGUCUACGGACCAAAGGGGGCUUCGGCUCUCGCCUUUAGAUUGGCCCAAGUGGGAUUAGCUAGUUGGUGAGGUAAUGGCUCACCAAGGCGACGAUCCCUAGCUGGUUUGAGAGGAUGAUCAGCCACACUGGGACUGAGACACGGCCCAGACUCCUACGGGAGGCAGCA